UAAUCUUAUCUGGUAAAGCGAAUGAUUAGAGGCCUUAGGGUCGAAACGACCUUAACCUAUUCUCAAACUUUAAAUGGGUAAGAACCUCACCUUACUUGAUAUGAAGGUUGUGGUUAUGAUAUAAUGUGCCCAGUGGGCCACUUUUGGUAAGCAGAACUGGCGCUGUGGGAUGAACCAAACGUAAUGUUACGGUGCCCAAAUUAACAACUCAUACAGAUACCAUGAAAGGCGUUGGUUGCUUAAAACAGCAGGACGGUGGACAUGGAAGUCGUAAUCCGCUAAGGAGUGUGUAACAACUCACCUGCCGAAGCAACUAGCCCUUAAAAUGGAUGGCGCUUAAGUUGUAUACCUAUACAUUACCGCUAAAGUAAAUGAUUUA
rnacentral:rRNA from 1 species